rnacentral:rRNA from 1 species
AGAAUCAACGCUGGCGGCGUGCCUCAGACAUGCAAGUCGAACGCGAAAGUUUCCUUCGGGAAACAAGUAGAGUGGCGCACGGGUGAGUAACACGUAGGUAAUCUACCUUUGGAUGGGGAAUAACAACCGGAAACGGUUGCUAAUACCGCAUAAUGCAGCGGCACCUAAUGGUGACAGUUGUUAAAGCGGGGGAUCGAAAGACCUCGCGUCUAAAGAGGAGCCUGCGGCGGAUUAGCUAGUUGGUAAGGUAACGGCUUACCAAGGCUACGAUCCGUAGCC